rnacentral:rRNA from 1 species
CCUANGGGUGGCAGCAGUGGGGAAUCUUGCGCAAUGGGGGAAACCCUGACGCAGCGACGCCGCGUGGAGGAUGAAGGUCUUCGGGUUGUAAACUCCUUUUCUUGGGGAAAAUGAUGAUGGUACUCAAGGAAUAAGCCACGGCUAACUCUGUGCCAGCAGCCGCGGUAAGACAGAGGUGGCGAGCGUUGUUCGGAAUUACUGGGCUUAAAGGGCGAGUAGGCGGUAGAGCAAGUCUGAGGUGGAAUCCUAUGGCUUAACCAUAGAACUGCCUUAGAAACUGCUUUACUUGAGUCAGUGAGGGGAGGGCGGAAUUCCUGGUGUAGCGGUGAAAUGCGUAGAUAUCAGGAGGAAGGCCUGUGGCGAAAGCGGCCCUCUGGCACUGUACUGACGCUGAGGCGCGAAAGCGUGGGGAGCAAACAGGAUUAGAUACCCGUNUANUC